AGAUUGAACGCUGGCGGCAUGCCUAACACAUGCAAGUCGAACGGGAGUAGCAAUACUCUAGUGGCGGACGGGUGAGGAAUACGUAGGAAUUUGCCCUUAAGUGGGGGAUAACCCGGGGAAACCCGGAUUAAUACCGCAUGACCUCGAAAGAGCAAAGUGGGGGAUCGCAAGACCUCACGCUUUUGGAGAAGCCUACGUCGGAUUAGCUAGUUGGUGAGGUAAUGGCUCACCAAGGCGACGAUCCGUAACUGGUCUGAGAGGAUGAUCAGUCACACCGGAACUGAGACACGGUCCGGACUCCGUACGGGAGGCAGCAGUGGGGAAUAGUUGGACAAUGGGCGCGAAGCCUGACUCCAGCAAGUCGCCGGUCGUGGUGUGGAAGAGGUCCGUUACGGGUUGUAAAGGCUAACUUUAAGGUUAGGGAAAGUAAAAACGUCGUACUACUAACACUAGU
rnacentral:rRNA from 1 species